UACGGAGGGCGCAAGCAGUGUUCGGAAUCACUGGGCGUAAAGCGCGUGUAGGCGGCUUGGCAAGUCGGAUGUGAAAUCCCGAGGCUCAACCUCGGAACUGCACUCGAAACUGCCUGGCUCGAGUCCCGGAGAGGGUGGCGGAAUUCCCGGUGUAGGGGUGAAAUCCGUAGAGAUCGGGAGGAACAACAGUGGCGAAGGCGGCCACCUGGACGGUGACUGACGAUGAGACGCGAAAGAGUGGGGAGCAAACAGG
rnacentral:rRNA from 1 species